rnacentral:misc_RNA from 1 species
UUUCCGUAGGUGAACCUGCGGAAGGAUCAUUAUUGUAUAACCGAGAUGCGAGGGCUGUCGCUGACCCGAAAGGUCGUGCACGCCCGAGUGCCCUCACACACAUCCAUCUCACCCCUAUGUGCACCACCGCGUGGGUCCCCCUUUGGCUUGUUCGGAGGGGGGCUUACGUUUUCACACAAACUUUGUAUGCAGUGUAGAAUGCAUUUUUUGUUUUUGCGAUCACGCAAUCAAUACAACUUUCAACAACGGAUCUCUUGGCUCUC